CUUGCUUCUCUUGAGAGCGGCGGACGGGUGAGUAAUGCCUAGGAAUCUGCCUGGUAGUGGGGGGUAACGUUCGGAAACGGACGCUAAUACCGCAUACGUCCUACGGGAGAAAGCAGGGGACCUUCGGGCCUUGCGCUAUCAGAUGAGCCUAGGUCGGAUUAGCUAGUUGGUGGGGUAAUGGCUCACCAAGGCUACGAUCCGUAACUGGUCUGAGAGGAUGAUCAGUCACACUGGAACUGAGACACGGUCCAGACUCCUACGGGAGGCAGCAGUGGGGAAUAUUGGACAAUGGGCGAAAGCCUGAUCCAGCCAUGCCGCGUGUGUGAAGAAGGUCUUCGGAUUGUAAAGCACUUUAAGUUGGGAGGAAGGGUUGUAGAUUAAUACUCUGCAAUUUUGACGUUACCGACAGAAUAAGCACCGGCUAACUCUGUGCCAGCAGCCGCGGUAAUACAGAGGGUGCAAGCGUUAAUCGGAAUUACUGGGCGUAAAGCGCGCGUAGGUGGUUUGUUAAGUUGGAUGUGAAAUCCCCGGGCUCAACCUGGGAACUGCAUUCAAAACUGACUGACUAGAGUAUGGUAGAGGGUGGUGGAAUUUCCUGUGUAGCGGUGAAAUGCGUAGAUAUAGGAAGGAACACCAGUGGCGAA
rnacentral:rRNA from 1 species